rnacentral:tRNA from 1 species
GGGUGGCUAGUUUAACUAAAACCCCUAAUUUCGACUUAUCAAAUCUCACCAAUAUGAGGUCACCAA